rnacentral:tRNA from 1 species
GCCUCUGUAGCUCAGUUGGUAGAGCAGCUGUCUUGUAAACAGCAGGUCGCUGGUUCGAGUCCAGUCGGGGGCUCCG